rnacentral:rRNA from 1 species
CAGCCGCCGCGGUAUACGUAGGUGGCAAGCGUUGUCCGGAAUUAUUGGGCGUAAAGGGCUCGCAGGCGGUUUCUUAAGUCUGAUGUGAAAGCCCCCGGCUCAACCGGGGAGGGUCAUUGGAAACUGGGAAACUUGAGUGCAGAAGAGGAGAGUGGAAUUCCACGUGUAGCGGUGAAAUGCGUAGAGAUGUGGAGGAACACCAGUGGCGAAGGCGACUCUCUGGUCUGUAACUGACGCUGAGGAGCGAAAGCGUGGGGAGCGAACAGGAUUAGAUACCCGGGUAGUCCCUGUCUCUUAUACA